UACGGGGGGGGCAAGCGUUGUUCGGAAUUACUGGGCGUAAAGGGCGCGUAGGCGGCCUUCUAAGUCGGACGUGAAAUCCCUCGGCUUAACCGAGGAACUGCGUCGGAUACUAUUCGGCUAGAGGAAUGGAGGGGAGACUGGAAUACUUGGUGUAGCAGUGAAAUGCGUAGAUAUCAAGUGGAACACCAGUGGCGAAGGCGAGUCUCUGGACAUUUCCUGACGCUGAGGCACGAAAGCCAGGGGAGCAAACGGG
rnacentral:rRNA from 1 species